AUGAUGCAGAGUGCAUGCAUUAUUGAGAACGUUGUCAUCUUUUAUCUUUCCUUCUCGACGUUACCCUGCAGCUCUUUUGUUGUUGUUGUUCUCACGCUAACAUGCGAGAUCCGCAGAGCCGCCUCGACUGCAUUCCGCCCCGACUUCCCCUCCGCUAGCGGCCUGCUCGCUUUGAGAUGAGCACAAGAUGUCGGUGUCGGGGCUGAAGGCCGAAUUGAAGUUUCUAGAGUCAAUCUUUGACCCAAACCACGAAAGAUUCCGAAUCAUAGACUGGAAACCCGACGAACUGAGUUGCCAGUUCAACGUAACAGGAGAGAAGCUGCUGAUCAUCCACUGCAACAUCACGGAGUCUUACCCCUCAACACCUCCGAUAUGGUUUGUAGACUCUGAUGAUCCAAGUCUUGCAGAAGUGUUGGAGCGCUUAGAGGAUGUCCGAAAAGGCAGCACGUUGCUUCUUCAGCAGCUGAAGCGCCUCAUUUGUGAUCUCUGUCGUCUUUACAACCUGCCUCAGCAUCCAGAUGUAGAGAUGCUCGACCAGCCUCUACCUGCUGGCCCCAUUAUCCAAGAGCGAAAGCACGGGCCAUCAGAUGAAGUGACAUCUGAGGAGGAAGAAGAGGAAGAAAUGGCAGAGCAGGACAUUGACCUGGACCAAGACUUGGACCAUUACGAGAUGAAAGAAGAGCCCGUGGAGGGCAAAAAGUCGGAAGAUGACGGGAUCGAAAAAGAAAACCUGGCAAUCCUGGAGAAGAUCCGUAAAAACCAGAGACAGGACCACUUGAAUGGGGCAGUCUCUGGGUCUGUGCAGGCCUCGGACCGCCUCAUGAAGGAACUCAGGGAGAUCUACAGAUCACAGAGUUACAAGACAGGUAUUUAUUCAGUGGAACUAGUCAACGACAGCCUUUAUGACUGGCAUGUCAAGUUAAGGACGGUAGACCCAGACAGUCCACUGCAUAGUGACUUGCAGGUCUUAAAAGAAAAGGAAGGAGUAGACUACAUUUUGCUCAAUUUCUCUUAUAAAGAUAAUUUUCCUUUUGACCCACCUUUUGUGCGGGUUGUCUCUCCUGUGCUCUCUGGAGGUUAUGUUCUAGGAGGAGGAGCCUUGUGUAUGGAACUUCUCACAAAACAGGGCUGGAGCAGUGCCUAUUCCAUAGAAUCUGUCAUUAUGCAGAUAAAUGCAACUCUAGUGAAAGGAAAGGCCAGAGUUCAGUUUGGGGCCAAUAAGACGAAGGUUUAAGACAACAAUGAACGAAGCAAGUACAGAGAAGGAGAGACAAAUGGAUGCAUCACCUCGCGUUUUGUUCUUUGCAAAGUUCAUUUUGCUGAAGACUGCUAUGAAGGAACCCCUUUACAAGAAGCAUUUGGCUUGAAAGUACGCUAUAAACGCAUUUUGGAUGCUAGGAUGCUAUUCCCGAUGCUAUGCUACACAGGAAAGGAGAAAGGCGUCAAAGUUGGCACAGAACAGAAACCAGUACAAUCUUGCCAGAGCACAACAGUCGUACAAAUCCCUUGUGCAGAUUCAUGAAAAGAACGGCUGGUACACACCCCCUAAAGAGGAUGGAUAAGGAUCUCCAACCACUAUGCACUGGGAACAUGGGUCAAAGUGUCUCAUUUUCUUUGGAGUAUUUCCCCCCAUCUGACUUGCUGGGAGUGUAUCACGUUUGUUGCACACCCGUCUGGUUGGUUCAUCUGAAAAGUAUUCCUUCAUAUGAUGUGAGGGUGUUACCUGCCCUGUUCAUAUAUCUUGGAUUGUCCUUUUCUCUGGUCCGAGCAUGGAGGAAAAAACUGCUUGGACAAAGUGGACUUCAAAUGAGAACGGUCAAAGUCAUACCCAAGCGCUUGGCGUUAUUUUGUUUUUUUUAACUAACAGGUACACAUAUUGUUUUUGAACUAUCUACCAAAUGUUUUUAAUUAUUAUAUGAGCAUCCUGGACAAUAAAUGAGCCAGUUGCCAUAGAUUUGAUGGUUAUCUUUAAAUGCAGCUGACCCUACACUCUUGUCUUUAAAAAAAAAAAAGAAAAAAAAAAGUGUGGCGCAUUUGGGGUCCACAGAACCAAACGGAGCUGGGUUGUCGUCUGAGAACUGGUCAAAAUUAGACAUCCUUGACAACAGGACACGAUGCGGUGAGAUUUGAAAAAGCUGAGCAUAACGUUUGCCUUAUCCCUGUCAACAUGUCACCCCUGCAAGAGAUGGCUUUCUAUUGGCUACGUUUGUGGUAGUAGUGCAACACUCACUUGUGGCUGGAAAGGUAGAUCCCUCUUCAGUAGAAUUGCGCUGAACUGACUUUGCAGAGUCAUUUAACAAAGGUUGUCGGGUUCAGUACUCGUGCAGUCGGUUAGUCCAGACAUGCCUUGAUUGUCGUGGUUUGCACCUUCCAACAAUCCUGUUACAUGACGGAGUUACCUGUUUUCUGUGCUGCUUUUGGCAUGAUAAAUGGAAGGAUUGCUUCUAGUGUGAGAGUGCUAAAUUUGUCUUAACUUGGUCACCGUCACUGCUGUCUUUCCCCGUACAGCGGCAGAUGUGAGAGGAACUUAGGAGGGAACCCAACUUGAUUGAUGCUCCGUGCUGUGCCCUUGCCUUCUGAGCACAUUUGUCAAACUCACCGAGGCCUCAAAAUCAAGGCGAAAGGACGCUGAGAUGCCAACUGGAGGGCAUCUUUCUCUGAAGCACUGGAUUGUGACAAAAGUGUACGCAACCCAGAAGACCAGAAUCAACUCCACGUGGGCACCGCCGACCUGCGGAUGCCAAAACUCCGCCUUGAGGGGUGAAAACAGGAGCUGGAAAGAUUGAAAGUCAGGCAGGUAGGAACGGCGUUGCGCACUUCUCGGAACUGGACUCAAUGAACAGAUGACGUCUCGCACAAUUUGCUUGCUUGGUUUUCAGUUUCUUUUUUGUUUUUCUUUUUCAUUUGAAGACAUUUGACCAUGUACAGUAAUUUGUAAACUUGCAUCAAGUUUAUGAAUAAAGAAUUUUAAGAUGA